UACGAGGGGUGCAAGCGUUGCUCGGAAUUAUUGGGCGUAAAGGGUAGGUAGGUGGUCUCAUUUGUCUGGGGUGAAAUCCUUGGGCUUAACCCAAGAAGUGCCCCAGAAACGGUGAGACUAGAGUACUGGAGAGGCUAGUGGAAUUCCCGGUGUAGCGGUGAAAUGCGUAGAGAUCGGGAGGAACACCAGAGGCGAAGGCGGCUAGCUGGACAGUAACUGACACUCAACUACGAAAGCGUGGGGAGCAAACAGG
rnacentral:rRNA from 1 species